rnacentral:rRNA from 1 species
AGUGGGGGAUAACGUAGCGAAAGUUACGCUAAUACCGCAUAUGCCCUGAGGGGGAAAGGUGGGGAUCGUAAGACCUAUCGCUUUCGGAGUGGCCGAUAUCAGAUUAGCUAGUUGGUGGGGUAAAGGCCUACCAAGGCGACGAUCUGUAGCUGGUCUGAGAGGACGACCAGCCACACUGGGACUGAGACACGGCCCAGACUCCUACGGGAGGCAGCAGUGGGGAAUUUUGGACAAUGGGGGCAACCCUGAUCCAGCCAUGCCGCGUGAGUGAAGAAGGCCUUCGGGUUGUAAAGCUCUUUCGGACGGAAAGAAAUCGCCAUUUCUAAUACAAGUGGUGGAUGACGGUACCGUCAUAAGAAGCACCGGCUAACUACGUGCCAGCAGCCGCGGUAAUACGUAGGGUGCGAGCGUUAAUCGGAAUUACUGGGCGUAAAGCGUGCGCAGGCGGUUUUGUAAGACAGGUGUGAAAUCCCCGGGCUUAACCUGGGAACUGCAUUUGUGACUGCAAGGCUAGAGUAUGGCAGAGGGGGGUAGAAUUCCA